AAAGAGUUGCCUCAUUCAAGGGUGUCUAUUUUGUGGGAACCAUGUCCCCAAAAUCUUAAUUCUGCCUGGUUACAUAGUCCCUGUAAAGUCAUUCCAUCCAAAGUGCACAAAGAAACAUAGUUCCCAUGUUGGAAGCUAAUCACGGUUGUUGUUUUUCAUUUGAAGCCACAUAAAAUAUAAUUGCUUUUGUUCAUCGGUGAAAGUAUUUUAAUUUAUUUUAUUGAAAAUGAGAGGAAAUUGAUUUGUUGUUUAAAAAUAAAUUUGUGUCUGUGCUUAAGGAAAAGUUUUUCGAUUUCUUCGGAGAAAAUAGAAUUUCUUGUUUUCGUUCUGUAGCUUGAACUUAAAAAAAAUGUGGC
rnacentral:lncRNA from 1 species